rnacentral:rRNA from 1 species
UACGUAGGUGACCAGCGUUGUCCGGAUUUACUGGGCGUAAAGAGCGCGCAGGCGGUCGUUCAAGUCGAGUGUGAAAGCCCCCGGCUCAACUGGGGAGGGUCACUCGAUACUGAUCGACUUGAAGGCAGGAGAGGGAAGCGGAAUUCCCGGUGUAGUGGUGAAAUGCGUAGAUAUCAGGAGGAACACCGGUGGUGUAGACGGCUUUCUGGACCGUAACUGACGCUGAGACACGAAAGCGUGGGUAGCAAACAGG